UUAGCAACAAAAUGUAACAGCUUCCUUUGCUCCUGGGUAUCUUCUUGAAUCUCAGAAAAUACUUGCUACUUUGUGAGGAAAUACAGAGUGUGGACAUCCUUGUAAUGAUAGGUAUCUGGUUUCUUAAUGCCAACGUAUGGUCUUUCACUCUGAUCCCACACUUUUCUGUGUAGACAAUAACUUUUUGCUUUAACAAUAAAUCAUGGGUAAUUUCUUGAAGACAUUUUAAACAGCAAUUAAACUCCACAUUAAACAUUAAAAAUAGCUCGAAUGAACUGAUGUCAAGGUGGGCAAGUAAUGACAAUGUCAUAGUAGCUUGCCUGGCCCAUAGCUACUAUGUCUCUAUGGAUUAUAAGACAAAUCCUAGUUUCAGAGAUGUUGCAGUGUAGAAAAGAGUGCACUUUAGAAUCAGUGAAAUACAGUAAACUCUACUACAGAAAGUAAUUUGGCUUAGCUAUCACCUCCUCCGGGAAAUCUUUCCUAGCUAUCAUUCACUCUUCCUUUGGAGUUGGGCUAAGCCCCCCUCCUGCUGGUAUUCCUAUAGCACCCGGUGCAUAUCAUCAUGACGUCACUGAAUGCAGAAUAGGGAAGAUGUGCGGUGUCCUAACUAUCUACUUACACAAGCAUCCAGGUUGUUGCAGAAUCAAUGGAGCCAUUCCUUAUGGGUCAAGUGCCAGCCUAGCUGCUGCUUCCUGGAGAAUCUCUCUGCCAAGGCCAAAUGUCUGCUCCUCAUCUCUGGAUCAUUGCUCUUACGUGACAAUGUUGAGUUCUGCAUGUGGGUCCUGCAUUAUAUCUGAGGCAAGGAGCACAGGGCCUCUGCUUUUUUGGUCCCAUCUGGACAAGCUUUCCUUCUCACUUUAUAAAGGAAAUCUUCUCCAGACAGGUAAACAAAGCCCCCUUGGCUGAUCAGACCGUAAACCUGCACGUGCUUCCUCUCUCCUUGUCAGUGAUGGAGGGUCAAAGGUCUCCUACUGUGAUCCUACUCACUUCCAGAACUGAAUCUUGCCACCUACCUGCUCCAGAGCCUCAAUAGUAAUUGAAAUUGCUACCCAUCUAUUGGAUAUCUAAUUAUAGGCCAAACAGUAUGUAAGAAGCCUUACAUAUUUUAUGACAUUCAGUACUUUUAGUAACUCUGCGUCCCCAUUUUGCAGGUAACGAAGCUGAGACUCAGAGGUUUCAACUACACAGUGAGGAGACGGCAGCAUCGAGUUUGUCUGACUCGGAAGGCCUUUCCACCACACAGAUGGUGUCAAUGGAUCUGCUUGAAUCAUGCAUUUUCUUCUAAGCUUUUUCUAGCCACAAAAUGCACGUAAGCAGAAGAAAUGGACUUCCUGUCCUUGAGAAGCUUAUCGUAUUAGUCGAAGACAGGAUUCACACAAAUGGGGCAGUUUGAAAAUGCUCCAUAGGUAUGUUGAAUCCGGUGCUAAACUCAGCACUACAAACCUUACAUAUUGGCAGAGCUUCGAGAAAGGGAAGAAUAUGAGAAAGAAGUCAUUGAGCAGUGGGCUUUUGGGGGGGGAGGAGUGCUCUGAAGAGAGAGGUAAGAGAUGGUGUUGGAGAGGAGGUCAAGGGAGGAAGAGGAGGUAGACAGAGAGGCCAGCCCGUGGAAGAGAAAAUCAAUCUAACCCAAGGAGAGUGGUCUAGGAAGUAGUCGAUAAUAGUGGUAGCGUGGUAGCGGAUCGUGAGGCGGUUGAGGAGGAAUGAGGAAGUCUUGAGAGCUAUGAAGAGGAAUCUAUACUCUGUGGAAACAAAGGACCUCAUGGUAGUUGUGGAGGGCACCGGCAAACGAAAGAAGAGUGUUGGGAAGGGGGAGACAUCAGGAAGAAAGGAAAGGACUCAAGAGAAGAGAGCUGUUAAAACAUGCUUGUGCAAAAUACCAAGGACUGAGAUGAGAGAGAGAGCGAGCUGGAACCACCCUUCCAAAGAAGGACUGGCCAGACGUGGUGAGUAAAUUGAGCAGAUGAGAGAAGGAUGACUUCAUUUGUUUCCAUCAUGUUCAAUAAAGGGGAGGGGGCACAGAUGCGGAGCA
ensembl:lncRNA